AUCCGUUCUUCCAUCUGCCUCCAUUCCAAACCCUUCUUCUCGCCAUUUCUCUGGUUUAUUUUUUGCAGAUCUGGCUACGCCGUCUUAUCUGUCGCCGGCACGGUGGCCGUAGAUCGAUAGAUCUCACGUAGAUCUACACGAUGAUGGUGGUUUCUUGCCGGCCUGGUCCACCGCGACGGAUUUUGGUUGUUCAUUCGGAUUCUGGCAGGUUCAACAUCAGAUCUGAUUCUUCUCUUCUAUUUUUAUGUUCUGAAGGCGAUUCGUGUGGUGAUUUUCUCAUCCGUGACGAUCGCGGGAUUUCAGAUCUAUCACGCGUCAGGGUUUGAUUCUUGUUCUCGGUAAUUUGUUUGAUUAUUAUUGUGCAACGAAAGGCGUUUCGAUCUCUUCGAGCAGGUAUGGAGUUUGAGACAGCGUUGGAUCUCCGUGGAGGCAGAAGCGUAUGGCGUCUCCAUCGAGGAAGCUAUUUCAUGAAACGAUGAGGUGGUUGAUUGCUGCAGAUGGAGAUAAUCCUGGUAGAUCCGUUCGUCGGUAUGCUACAGGAGGCCUGAUUGCUGUUAUUCAAUGGAAGCUGUAACUUGUAUCAUAAUAUUGAAAGCAUCGGGAAGGGUAGAUGAGUGAUUGUGGAUGUAUAAGAUAUCGGGAUUCAGCCUUCUUUUCGAGGAGGAACAAUCCUGGUACCUCUUUGUCAUCCGGCCUUUGCCAUGACAGGUGCGCUUGCAUGGCAGGUCAUUCAUAAUAAAAAAAAUAGUAUGUUUUGGUUUUGGGAGGAGAUCGCACGGGGAUUGCCCGGGGUCUCCUCUCGCUGGUGUGUUUUUCUCUUGCUUUCUAUUUCUCUCCGUUCGUUUCUGCUACCGCAACCGCCAGAAUCGCUUCUCAUAUCAUAGCUAUUGACAUGAUCAUAUCCGCGACAUGCAAAGUUUUUGCAAUAUAAGGAGUCAUCAAAUGCGACAGUGUUUGCGAAGGUAUAGUUGGUAUUCAUAUGGUAAUAAUUUAUAUUCGUAUUUAAGUUUAUUCGUAUUUAUAUUCUUUCAUUGAGCUUUAAUUCUUUCUCAAUGAAAACAUGGUUCGACAUAAAAAUUACUCGUAUACAAACUAUACAAUUACGCCUGAUCAAUAAUUAAGAUGCUGCGCUGUGUACUUGCACAUUAAGAAGAAACAUCAGGGUGUUCUAUCCCCCCAUCCCCAAUAGGCUCAAGUAAAUUUCAAAGAUCUGUACAAUUUCCUUGUUUUUUUUAUUAUUUUGCUGAAAAUAUGUUACAACGAAGUCAGUUCUUUGAUAGACGCGACCCUCCCCUCCCCUUCCAGGAAUUGCAAUGAGUUACAUUUUGUAUUCUGAUAUAUAUUUCAAAUUAUCUAGUAAUGUUACAUUUUUAGAAUUAUGUAUUCUGCAAGCUUUCCUAGAGUCGGUGCCUGUAUUUUUAGUUUUGUGGGACUGGUUUGUAUUUUCGGCUGUUACAUUGUUAGAUCUGAAGAAGUUGAUGUAAGUGGAUCUAGAAGGCGUGCUUGAGAAGAAGCCUCGCUCUAUUGCCAUGGAAGGAAUAGGACGACAUUAUAUAUCUGAAGAGUUGUAAGAUGUGUUGGCAGCCCGUACAAGCAGCAGCUCGUCGCUCUCCUGUAGCCUAUCCUGUUUCCCGCUGGUAUUUAUUGGAUUUAUCCUAUUUUCAACUCUACUAUGCAAUUUUUUUCCAAUUGGAGAAGUGGAUUCUAUUAUGUUUUUGUUUUCCUUUUGUUAGUAUGCUCGAUUAUGAAGUUAGUAGAUUGUUUUUCUAGCUUGCCGAUUGGAUAAAAUUUAUGUGUAGACCACACUAUUCUGUGGUAUGAGUCUUUUUAAAAUUUUAAUUUAGUUCUGAGGUGGUGGUGGUUUCUAACAUUUAAAUAUAUUUUAGUACUUUUGAUA